CCUACGGGAGGCAGCAGUGAGGAAUAUUGGUCAAUGGGCUUACGCCUGAACCAGCCAAGUCGCGUGAGGGAAGACUGCCCUAUGGGUUGUAAACCUCUUUUGUCAGGGAGCAACGCCGGCUACGUGUAGCCGGACUGAGAGUACCUGACGAAAAAGCAUCGGCUAACUCCGUGCCAGCAGCCGCGGUAAUACGUAGGGGGCAAGCGGUAUCCGGAUUUACUGGGGGGAAAGGGAGCGUAGGCGGCGGUGCAAGCCAGGUGGGAAAGCCUGGGGUUCAACCCCGGGACUGGAUUUGGAACUGGGAGGCUAGAGUGUCGGAGAGGCAGGCGGAAUUCCUGGUGUAGCGGUGAAAUGCGUAGAUAUUAGGAAGAACACCAGUGGCGAAGGCGGCCUGCUGGCCGAUGACUGACGUUGAGGCUCGAAAGCGUGGGGAGCAAACAGGAUUAGAUACCCGAGUAGUC
rnacentral:rRNA from 1 species